AUUGAACGCUGGCGGCAGGCCUAACACAUGCAAGUCGAACGCGUGGCGGACGGGUGAAUAAUGUCUGGGACACUGCCUGAUGGAGGGGGAUAACUACUGGAAACGGUAGCUAAUACCGCAUAACAUCAGAUGUGCCCAGAUGGGUUUAGCUUGUUGGGGGGGUAACGGCUCAUCAAGGCGACGAUCCCUAGCUGGUCUGAGAGGAUGACCAGCCACACUGGAACUGAGACACGGUCCGGACUCCUACGGGAGGCAGCAGUGGGGAAUCUGGCACAAUGGGCGCAAGCCUGAUGCAGCCAUGCCGCGUGUAUGAAGAAGGCCUUCGGGUUGUAAAGUACUUUCAGCGGGGAGGCGUUACCCGCAGAAGAAGCACCGGCUAACUCCGUGCCAGCCGCCGCGGUAAUUG
rnacentral:rRNA from 1 species